rnacentral:rRNA from 1 species
GACUACCGGGGUAUCUAAUCCUGUUUGCUCCCCACGCUUUCGAGUCUCAGCGUCAGUACUCGUCCAGUUGGCCGCCUUCGCCACCGGUGUUCCUCUCGAUAUCUACGAAUUUCACCUCUACACCGAGAAUUCCACCAACCUCUCCGGUACUCAAGUCUUGCAGUAUCGAGUGCACUUCCCGGGUUGAGCCCGGGGCUUUCACAUCCGACUUACAAGACCGCCUACACUCGCUUUACGCCCAGUAAUUCCGAACAACGUUUGCACCCUCUGUCUUACCGCGGCUGCUGGCACAGAGUUAGCCGGUGCUUGCUAAGGAGAUACCGUCAUCAUGUGGUGAUUAGCCCACACUAAUUCUUCUCUCCCCACAGAGCUUUACAACCCGAAGGCCUUCAUCACUCACGCGGCGUCGCUGCGUCAGGCUUUCGCCCAUUGCGCAAGAUUCCCCACUGCAGCCGCCCGUAGG